UUACCAGGGUUUGACAUGCAAGUGGUAGGAAUCCGAAAGGUGACCGACCCUUCGGGGAGCUUGCACAGGUGCUGCAUGGCUGUCGUCAGCUCGUGUCGUGAGAUGUUCGGUUAAGUCCGCUAACGAGCGCAACCCUCGUCGUGUGUUAUACGUGUCACACGAUACUGCCGGUAUCAAGCCGGAGGAAGGUGGGGAUGAUGUCAAGUCAGCAUGGCCUUUAUAUCCUGGGCUACACACACGCUACAAUGGCAGAUACAAUAGGUUGCGAAACCGCGAGGUGGAGCCAAUCCUCAAAGUCUGUCUCAGUUCAGAUUGUAGGCUGCAACUCGCCUGCAUGAAGUUGGAGUUGCUAGUAAACGCAGGUCAGCUAUACUGCGUUGAAUACGUUCCCGGGGUUU
rnacentral:rRNA from 1 species